UCUGCGCCAAGACGGCGCGGGACGCGCUCCCUCGAACGGGAAGCGGGACCGCUCUGCUCCAGAAGGCUAACCGCUCCUCCCUCGGCGGGCCCGGCCUCCGUCCGUGGCCCACAAUCCCCGCUCGGGGCGGGUUUCCGGUGGCGAGGCUCAGAGCCCUGCACCUUCUUUGCGCCCGUCGGGCCCGGGCAACGCUUCUCUUUCCGCAGGCUAAUAGUUUUCCCAUCGCCAAAUCACUGUUUCCAGCAGUCUCAGAACUGCAUAGUCGUGUUCACCACAGCAACAGCGCAUUCCUGAGCACCAGCCUGUCGGACACGGACCAGGGAUGGAGCCGUGGGAGAAUUGUGAGUGUUUGUGAGGAAACUUCAAGACACUGAGAGUCUUGGGACCUUGGUUCUUCAAACCAUGGAAUUGUUCUUGCAGUGUGUUUCCGUGCUCCUCCCAGGCAUAGCAGACAGUGUGUUCACUUCAGAUUGCUCAUUACAAGUGGCUAUGGUUAUUUGUAUAUGUGCCUCUAAGGAAAAACAUGUUUUUGCCACAUGCAGUUUAUCCUUAUGAUUGUACACUUUAGUCACGUGAUUCUUCUAACCCUCAGUAUAAACUGCUCUGAAUAAAGUUGGCUAUUGCAUGAGA